CAGUUUUCGUGAACGGAAAGAUUUGCAAAGACCCAAAGCUUGCAACAGCGAAUGAUUUCUUUGCUUCAGGUUUUAAUGUUAGUGGAAAUGCAGUGCCUGGGUUUGGUUUUGCUACAAAGACUGCGGAUCUGAACAACAUGCCUGGACUUAACACUCUUGGUCUUUUUUUUGGUCGUAUUGACUUGGAACCUCAACGUCUUGCUCCACUUCACACGCACCCUCGAGCUACUGAGCUGAUAACUAUCCUGGAGGGUACUGUCUAUGCAGGAUUUCUUGUCCCCAAUCCUGCAAACUUCUUUAAGAGUCGUCUCUUCUCCAAAGUCUUGAAUCCUGGUGAUGUGUUUGUAAUCCCAAAAGGUCUUAUUCACUUCCAGUAUAAUGUGGGAAACAAAAAAGCUACUUAUUUCGCUAUUUUCAACAGUCAAAAUCCUGGAUUUGUCAUUAUUCCUAAUUCAAUCUUUGCUUCAAAUCCACCUAUUUCGGACGACGUUCUUGCCAAAGGCUUCAUGCUUAAUAAGACAGAGAUUGCAGUACUUCGAAAGAAAUUCUCUUAGGCUAUACUAUAUGUUAUUAAAAAUAUGAUUCUGUGUUUUCUGAAAGUUGGUUGCAGCACAUAAGCUGCUCACCAGCGUCUUAUGAGUUGGAACAAUACUUGACCCCUAAUAAAUAAAGUGGCAGUGUAUGUAAGUAUAAUCUUUCUUUGCAAUAUAUACUAAUGAAUAAGCACUAUGUUGGUCAUGCACCUGGUGUGAUGAGAGUGAAAUUGACAUGCUUAAUGGCUAUCAAGUGUAAAGUUGAAAUGAUUUUCCUGGAAAGGACAUAUAUCUUAUUAGUCGAUUAAGAUGCUUUCCUGGAGUUUCAAUUAUAUAAGUUCGAGCUCUAGGACCAAUUCUUGAGUUUCCCUAGUAAAAGUUGAAAAACUUUUAUAUACUUAUACUAUUAUUUUAGAUUAGUAUUAGUUAGUGAUCCAAACUUAGUGAUGAACUGUUGACACUGGUCCUACAUUUUUUCAACUAUACAACAUGAAAUCUAGCAAUGUAGUUGGACUCUAAUGUCGAUGCGUAUGAAUCAUUUCCUGUAGAAUAUUUUCAAUCCAAGUUGAAAUAGGAAAAGUCACAAGCACCACUAGACUCGAUCACCGGUUGAACGUUAGUAGGAUCUGAUAUUCAUUACUUACUCAGAUAGGAAGUUGACAGUCUCAAUCUAGUGGUGUGGUCCACAACGACUUUGUUGAUCCAAGGGGUUUUUUGUUUUUAUUGCAAUAAGUGUUCCUUUUUUUUCUUUUAACUUGCAACACUUGCUACUUUGAAGUUGAAAACUAGAUUUUAUGCAAAUUGCACGCUAAGUCUUUGGUAUGGGUGUCCCGGUCUAAUAAUCUACAAAGAAAGGAGAGGGAAUGACAUAUCAAUCUAAGAUCCUUCUCCUCUUAGAAAGAGGAGAAAAUAUCCAAAAUUGUCCUUGUGGUUUGCAAAAAAGGUCUGAUUCUGUCCUCUGUUAAAGCUUAGGUCCCAUCGUGCCCCCGCUAUUAUCACACGGGCACACAUUUGCCCUAAUUAUCCAACUUAGCUAACAAAAUUAUUAAAAUGGAUUUCAAAACUUUUAAAAUGAUAAAAAAAAAAAAGUUCUAGAAUUCUCCGGGUGAUUGUGGCUUUUGAGUGGAAGUGGAAGCCAUUGAAGAUCUAGGAAUGUUUGGGUGGCCAUUUCUGAUAGAAGUUUUUUUCUAGAGAUCAGUGGUUUCAGGUUUCGCAAUGCUUGUAGAUGAUACCGUGCCUUACAAUGAGAUGAUAUAUAACUAAAAGGUAAAAAUGCUAAGAUAGUGCCGAGUACUGAACUUUGACCCUCCAAUUUUGGGUGUGCACAAGUAGAUACUUAAAUUUGUAUAAAAUUGAACAAUUAAACACAUGCAUAUACAUGACAUCCUAUAUGACAAUUCACAUCCUACAUAGCGUCCUAUGUGUAAUAUGCCACGUAAAAUGUGUGUGUCUACUUAUUCAAUUUUAUACAAGUUUAAGUACCUACUUGUGCACACUCAAAGUUGGAGGGGAUGUCAACUGAAGCGGCUAAGUUAAAUGGAACAUUUAUGUAUUAUGCUCAUUUUUCAGAGAAUGGUCAAAAUUGUACCUAACCAAUUCAGUAUGUUUUACUUUUACAUUUCGUCUAUCUAUUGGUCCUCAAAGCCUAACCUAUUGUUUUCUAGCCAAAAUUUACCCCUCUUCUAAACGAAAAAUUACAUAAUUUCGCGACACCAUAUAAUUGGCAUAAGCCAUACAUAAAUGUGCUCCUUAACUUAACUUCAACAAGCAUCUAUGCUCUUCAACUUUGGGGUGUGCACAUGUAAACACUUAAACUUCCAAUAGUUGAACAAGUAGACACACACAUCUUAUAUGGCGUCUUAUGUGGUAGUUUUGUGUCCUACAUGGCAUCCUACAUGUAUUAUGCCACAUAGGACGCAUGUGUAUGUCUACUUGUUUAACUUUUGGAUAGUUUAAGUGUCUACUUGUGAAUACCUAAAGUUGGAGGGCGUAACGCCAGUUGAGACCAAGUUAAAGGACACAUUUAUAUAAUACGCCCCACAUAAUUGGUUCAUGUGGAACUUUAACUCUAAUAGUAGCAGUACCAAGUAGUGUGGAUUCAAGCUUUUCAAUAUGUUAGAGUGAGUUAGAAUCCCACAUUGAUUGUGGAAAGGACCAAUGGGUUUAUGCAAUGCUUUCCUCGUGAGCUAGCUUUUAGGGUUGAGUUAGGCCUAAGUGUCAUAUUUUUACAUAAUACAUAUUAUUUUUCUCGGAUAUUUUGAACUAGAUGAGAGUAUAAGUAGUCAAACCUUUCUUCCUGGCUGUUUGGAAAAAAGCCCAUCACAAAUCCAAAGCAUAAUAAUGAGUAUGUGGUGGUUCAUAACAACAUUAGCCAUUACUGCUUUCAUUUCUUAUUCCCCUGCUUAUGCUUAUGAUAACAACCCUCUACAGGACAUAUGUGUUGCUGUUAACGACUCUCAGGCUGCAGGUAAAUCAUCCUUCAAUAUUUUGUUUGGGAAUGAGGCGUAGUUUUUGGAUAUACGUUGUAUAAUUUAUGUCUGCUCUUAUUAUCUGAAUAAUAUGCUCAGUUUCAUUUUAUUUCACCUGUGCAGUUUUCGUGAAUGGAAAGAUUUGCAAAGACCCAAAGCUUGCAACAGCGAAUGAUUUCUAUUUUUCAGGCCUUAAUGUUAGUGGAAAUGUAGUGCCUGGGCUUGGUUUUGCUUCAACUCGUGUGGCUGUAAACAACAUGCCUGGACUUAACACUCUUGGUAUGUUUCUUGGUCGUACUGACUUGGAACCUCAACGUCUUGCUCAAUUUCACACGCACCCUCGAGCUACUGAGUUGAUAACUAUCCUGGAGGGUACUCUCUAUACAGGAUUUCUUGUCCCUGAUGCUGCAAACUUCUUUAAGAGUCGUCUCUUCUCCAAAAUCAUUAAUCCUGGUGAUGUGUUUGUGUUCCCAAAAGGUCUUAUUCACUUCCAGUAUAAUAUGGGAAACAAAAAAGCUACUUAUCUCUCCUUUUUCAACAGUCAAAAUCCUGGAUUUGUCAUUAUUCCUAACUCAAUCUUUGCUUCAAAUCCACCUAUUUCGGACAACAUUCUUGCCAAAGGCUUCCAGCUUAAUAAGACAGAUAUUGCACUACUUCGAAAGAAAUUCUCUUAGGCUAUAUUAUAUGUCAUAAAAAAUGUCACUCUGUGUUUUCUGAAUGAUUUUUGGAAGCUUUAUAUGAAAGCCUUGGAAUAAAACUCUUCUAAUAAAUGUUGUUCUUUGUAUUUUUCCGUAUUUGGUGUGAGCAUGUUCAUUCAUGGAAGCUAACAUUUUCCCCUAAUUUUAUUUCCUCUCCGUCUUACUGUUAUUGUUGAAAAGUGAAACUAAGUUAAAGAACUGAUUAGGCUGUAUUUUAUAUAUAUAGAUGCCCAUAAUGUCCACUUGGUACGUUCAGUUCUUUUUUCCAGAUGAAAGUAACAUAUUGUUUCUCUUCUUGUAAGAGUUAAUAAAUUGAAAAAAAAACAUGAUAGACUAAUCAAACAUUUUUAUUACAACCUUAACUUCAAAUAAAAGAUUCAACAACAUUGUAAUCCACAAUUAAAACAGUUAAAAACUAUAGAGGAAAUUAAAUUCCCAAUCAUAGACCUUAAUGCUAUUGACAAAUGUAACGCUUUGUAUUAAAAUGUGUCUUGUAGAUCCAUAUGGACAUCAACAAGCACUGAGAAUUUUCGCGGUUGGAUCCCAUUUGGUAACAAGGCUAAUAAUUAUUUAGUUGUUUAGAACUUGCUACGUCCAUUUUCUGAAUUUGUUUUUUUCAAUGUUCUUUCAGUAGCUUGUGUCUAACAGAUGUGGCCCUUAACCUCCUCAGUAGCAACCCACAUUCAUCCAAUAAGUUUUUCAAGUGUCAUUGAUCUAAUUACCUUUCUAGAGUCUGCGUGUUUCUCUAGUAAGUAGAAAUUCAGUGUACGCGGAGUCACAUAUACUUGAGAGAUGUCGACUGACACCCCUUCGUCGGAAUAUUACACAGUGUAGCUAUGUAAAUAUAUACUUUUAUGUGUAUAUAUUACAUAUUGACACUCCUUGACUUCCACAUGAUUUUAUUUCUUUAUAUUUUGCCACCCCUUAGUCGAAAAUUUGGCUCCGCCACAUUCUAAUGUCUAAACUAGUGGAGUAGGGACCAACCUAGCUAGUAUAUAGCAAUUCCCUAUAGUAAGAAGUAAACUCAGGAAAAGCUUUUGGAAGAAGUCAAAAAGAAGUAGAGAUGCCUUUUGUCUUUAGUUUAUAAUCAUAAAGUAGCUAAAAAUUAAAUAAUUUGGAAAUUGAAUACAGAUUGAAUAGUAAUCACCAAAAAUAGCUUCACUUGCAAUUUUAAAAAAAUUCAAGAUUUUUACUGUAAGUCCACGUUAUCUGGAGCUUGAACUGUUUAAGUUUGAACUCCAAUAUUUAUAGUGGACUCUAGGAAAGUAUCCUUGCCUGGAGUUUAUAUUGUGUAAGUUCGAGCUUUAGGACACGGAUCCUGGAGUUUCACUUGUGAUCCUGACUUAAUGAGGUCUAUAGACUAUUAUAUUAGAUUAGUAUUAGUAAUUAGUAAUCCCAACUUAGUGAGUCCAUUCUUCCGUGAUGAACUGUUGGCACCAGUCCUACAUUUUGUCUUUGUGGACUGAGGAGAAAAGGGGUUUGGUGGGAAGAGGAGUAUAUCAUGAGAGAAGAAAGGAGGUCAACCUCUUUCAAAUAUACAACAUGGAAUCUAGCAAUGCAACUGGACUCUCAUAUUUGAUCUGAAUGAAUCAUUUCCUUUCCUGUCCCGUAUUUUCAAUCCAAGUCGAAAUAGGAAAAGCCAUAAGCACCACUAGGCUCGAUCGCCGGUUGAACCUCAGUAGGAUCCGAUAUUCAGAUUUGGCAAUGCUUUUAGGUUAUACCGCGCCUUAUAAUGAGAUUAUGUACAACUACAAGGUAACUAUGCUAAGAUAGUGCAGAUUACUGAACUUUGUUUAUCUUCAUUUUACAGAGAAUAGUCAAAAUCGUACCUAAACUAUUCAGUAUGUUUUACUUUUACACUUUGCCUAAUCUACUGGUCCCUCAAAACCCAACCUAUUAUUUUCUAGCAUAAAAUUACCCCUCUUUCAAACGGAAAUUUUUUUGAGUCCCUACAUACUUUCAUGACACCCUAUAAUUGGUUCAUGUGGAACUCUAACUCUAAUACUAGCCCCACCAAAUAGUGUCGCUGCAAGCUUUUCAAUAUGUUAGAGUGAAUUAGAGUCCCGCAUUGAUUGCGGAAUAGACUUACAAUUUUGGGAAAUCCUCCCAUCAUGAACUAGCUUUGGGGGUUGUGUUAGGUCCAAAUGUCAUAUCUUUAUGCAAUACAUAUUAUUUUUCCCUGGUAAAUCAACUAGAUGAGAGUAUAAGUACUCACACAUUUCUGGUUGUUUAAAAAACACACAACUAAUCCAAAGUAUAACAAUGAGCAUGUGGUGGUUCAUAACAACAUUUGCCAUUACUUCUUUCAUUUGUAAUUCCCCUGCUUAUGCUUAUGAUAACAACCCUCUACAGGACAUAUGUGUUGCUGUUAAUGACUCUCAGGCUUCUGGUAAAUCAUCAUUCUAUAUUUUUGUUUGGAAUGAGGCGUAGUUUUUGUAUAUACAUUGUAUAAUUUAUAUCAGCUCUUAUUAGCUGAAUAAUAUGCUUAGAGAUUCAUUUUAUUUCACCUGUACAGUUUUCGUGAAUGGAAAAAUUUGCAAAGACCCAAAGCUUGCAACAGCGAAUGAUUUCUAUUUCUCAGGUCAUAAUGUUAGUGGAGAUGUAGUGCCUGGGCUUGGUUUUGUUUCAACUCUUGUGGAUGUAAACAAGAUGCCUGGACUUAACACUCUUGGUAUGUUUUUUGGUCGUACUGAAUUGGAACCUCAACGUCUUGCUCCACUUCAC
rnacentral:lncRNA from 1 species